ACCCGCUGAAUUUAAGCAUAUAAGUAAGUGGUGGAAAUUAAACCAAAUGGGAUAUCUUUAGUAAUUACGAAUGAACAAGGAUAUGCUUAGCUUGACAAAUGGAGCUAUUGGCUUUGAAUUGUAUUGUGGAAAUGUAUUACCAACAGAGGUGCAGGUGCCAGCAUAUUGAAAUAAAGCGUCAAUGAGGGUGAGAAUCCUGUUUGCCAUGUGCAGCCCUUUGUGCACGGUGUAUAUUUGCUGAGUCACACUCCUUGACAUUGGAAUGCAAAGUGGGUGGUAAGUUUCAUGUAAAGGUAAACAUGCAACUGAGACUGAUAGCACACAAGUGCCAUGAGGGAAAUAUGAAAAAGGUUUUUGAAAGGAUAAUAAAAUGAGUUUGUAUUUGCUGAACACAAAGUAAACAGACUUGAUUUGCUUGGUGGGAGUGUUGCACUUGCUUGACAAGAGCUUUGGGCUGUGUGUGUAAUGAUUCGUUCUUUGCAUGCCAGUUUCUAUGUGUACAUCUGAUUACCUUUGCACAUGAAUGAUAAGUCUCCUGUGGGGGGUGGAUUGCAUGUGCAUGUAAUGAUUUGUGUUUUGAUAAAUGUGUCUGGUGUAUGUGUUUGUGUUCAUGUGAUUGGGGAUGCUUCCUUCCUUGGACUUACAAGCCCUGACACACACAUGCUGGCAAAAUGAUUAUGCUUGACCCGUCUUGAAACACGGACCAAGG
rnacentral:rRNA from 1 species